UAUAACUCACUUCCAUAAAAUAAUAAUGACACUGAUUUAUUUUACAAAACCUUUUCUUUUAUAUAGAUGAGGUUUUUUUUUAUCUAAGCACAACAACGACAAAAAUAAUAUGAUGUAAUUAUGCUAAGAUAAGCAAAACUAAGCCCAGGAAAGAAUAAUAAAAUAUGCAAAGAAGAAGGUUUGGCUUGAAAAUUGUUACUCAGAAGAAGCAAGAAGGCCGUCUUAAAGGGGGAAAAGUGUUUUAUUCAAAAAAGAACAUACAAAGAUUGAACGAGAAGUUGGUUUGAAAGCUUGUAUUAGGGCCUGUUUGUUUCUCCAUUUGAAUGAGUCAUUUGGAUGAAGAUGAGAGUUUUGUUUGUUUAGACACUAAAAUUGCAACUCAUUCAGAUGGAUCAUCUAGAUGACUUUUGGAAAUUUAGGCUUAAUUUUCAAGUCCAUUCAGCUGAACCAAUUUGGAUCAUUUGAAUGGAGAUGGUUCAUUCAAAAUGGUAUAAUGUCUAUUAUGCCCCUAAUGUAAUUCACAGAUUACAAACCUAAACAUAAUAUCAUUUUUGUCACAUACGAAAACUGACAAAACUACAAAAACCCCAAAAACGCAAUUUCCCGCCAAAAUUGCAAAAACCACGUUUUCCCGUUAAAACUGCAAAAAACGUAUUUUCCACCAAAACAAAAAACGAGUUUUCCCGUUAAAACCGAAAAAUCUCGUUUUCCCACCAAAAUCGAAAAAUCUCGUUUUCCGACCAAAACUGCAAAAACGCGUUUUUCCGCCAAAAACGUGUUUUCCCGCCAAAACCGCAAAAACGCGUUUUCCUGCCAAAAACGUAUUUUCCCGCCAAAACCGCAAAAACGUGUUUCCCCGCCAAAACCGCAAAAACGUGUUUUUCCGCUAAAACCGCAAAAACGUGUUUUCCCGCUAAAACCGCAAAAACGUGUCUUCCCGCCAAAACCGCAAAAAUGUGUUUUUCUGCUAAAACAGCAAAAACGCGUUUUCCCGCCAAAACCGCAAAAAACGCGUUUUCCCGCCAAAACCGCAAAAAUGUGUUUUUCUGCUAAAACGGCAAAAACGCGUUUUCCCGCCAAAACCGCAAAAAACGCGUUUUCCCGCCAAAACCGCAAAAAUGUGUUUUUCUGCUAAAACGGCAAAAACGCGUUUUCCCGCCAAAACCGCAAAAAACGCGUUUUCCCGCUAAAACCGCAAAAACGCGUUUCCCGCCAAAACCGCAAAAAUAUAUUUUUUCACCAAAACCGCAAAACGCGUUUUCCCACCAAUAACGAAAGAUCUCGUUUUCUCGCCAAAACCGAAAAAUUCCGUUUUCCCGCGAAAAUCGCAAAAACGUGUUUCCCUUCAAAACCGCAAAAAAUGCGUUUUCCCGCCAAAAACGUCAUUUUCCGCCAAAACCGCAAAAAACGUGUUUUCUCGCCAAAACAAAAAAAUCUCGUUUUCCCGCCAGAACCGAAAAAUUGUGUUUUUCCGCCAUAACCGAAAAAUGUGCUUUCUCGCUAAAACCAAAAUUUUUUUUUUCCGCCCAAACCGCAAAAAGGAACGUUAAUUUUGAAAUAAUUCUAAUGUAAAUAUAUUAAACUCAAUAAUUAAAUGUACUAUAGUUAAAAUUAAUAUCAAACAUAUGAUUAAACCAAUACAAGGGUAUUUUGGUGAUUUGUUUACUAAACUCAUUUGAAUGGAAAUGAAAAUAAAAAAACAAACAUAAAAUCCAUUUAGAUGAUUCAUCUAGAUGAGCCAUCUGGAUGAACAAACAAACAAUCACAAAAAUCUGAAUGGAUCAUUUGAAUAGAUCAUACAAAUGAAUCAUUUGGAUGGAGAUGACAAAUGGUGAAACAAACAGCCCCUUAGUACAUACUUUUUAUAAUUCCAAGCUCUUUUCUCAUCGUAGUAAUAUCCAGUCUUGCUUCUUUGAG
rnacentral:lncRNA from 1 species